rnacentral:misc_RNA from 1 species
AAAAAAAAAAAAGAAAGAAAGAAACAAGGUCUGCACAUUACUCCCUUGUCACACUUACUAACAAUUCCUAGCUCUACAAAAGAAUUAAGCCAAUAGUCUCUCAAACCCCCUAACAGAUCUUGAUACAACAUUUAACUUUAACUGAAUCCUGUUACAAUUAGCUCUCUCACAUUUACAACAGGUCAAAAUUAUCAUCUUUUUUUCAUUUCCUCUUUGCCAAUUGGAAAGUUUUCUUCAAGAACUGAUUUGCUGCUUUAUCGUUUCUGUGGCAUAAGACUCUUAAGAUUGUGUUUGGAUCUGAUCUAUUCCACCUUCCUGUUGUUGGUGGCAUUGGUAGUUUUUGGCCUGUACCCACAACUCCUAUACCACUUGUUUCACAAGUCACAAUGCUGAAAUCUUCCAUUAGCUGCUCUGUACAUUCACCCAUUAAUGUUACCACCCCUUCAACUAUGUCAGCUUCCCUAUCCACCACUUCCUCAUUCAUCAAUCCUUCAGCGCAUGUGCAAAAUACACGCUUCAGAUUCUCAAAAUCUUCUUGAAUCAUCGGGUGAUCAGACCGAUAAAACACCCGAGAGCACCCUCCAGCAAGCAAAACCAUAAGGUAGACCUCAAAAGUUGCCUUCAUUACUUCUCUCAUUGCCAAAGCCUGAGCUCGGUCUGUAAGAAUUGCUGUCAAAAGAGUAAGAUUCUGCUUCAAGGUUCUCAAUGCAGGCCUAAUCCUGGCAUUUGCUACAUCACCCACAUAGAGAGUUUCAUAGAAGACUGAAUUCGAGUCGAGAAAUAUCAAACGAUAGGCAGCAACUUCUGAUACAUGUUGACAGGCAGAUUGGAUGGAUGAUUGGGCUCCUUCGAAGUAAGAAGAAGAGGUAGCGGAACGGUGCCUGCGAUGGCUCGCAUGACGUGUACGGGCUGAAGAAAUAGUUCUUGGAGCAAGGGCGAGGGUCUUGUCUAAAGAAUGGAGGUGAGAAAGAAGAUAGUACAAAGUGUUGAGUCGGAUGUAAAGGCGUUGUGUUCCUCGGCUUGUUGAUGGCCUUGGAUGGUGAGCUUCUGUUGCUCCAUGUUGCUGCAUUUCUUCUGCUGGAACACUACACGGAGUAGCUAUCUUCCACAGCACGGAAAACUUAGAGUCACGGUUGCAUCUGGUUAAAGGAGGUAGAGUGGGCACAUAGCUCUGUUUUGAUCCUGGAAUGAUACCCAAAUUAAAUCUAAGUUAUUGAAAGCAAGCUCAGGAACUUCUCAUGGAAUUCUUUAUUUUCACAGGAAGAUUGAUUUUCUUCCAUCUAAACCAACAGAGCCAAAUAGAAUUUCAUCUAUGAUGGUAGCAAGCAAGGAGAAAUAAAAAACAAGGUACAUAUUCUUACCGCAAGCUUCUACAAAUUUGAUGUAUUCUUGGAAGAGAUGCUCUAGACCUUCGGCAAGUUCACAAACAAGAUCAUCAGUUAUCCCAACAGGAAUUUCAAAGAAUUCAUCCACCGUUUCCUUGGCUAAUUUCAUUAACUCCACAAUUGACUGUGCAUACGGCUCAUUUUUGGACUUGGGAUUCCAUGUCUGUAACAUAGAUUGCACCAUUCACUCUUUGGUACUUUGACAUAAAAUGAAAGGUAUCUUACUCUUGUUAUAAACAUAAAUCUUCUGUCUAUUUUAUCAUACAAAGUAACAUAAGAGAACUUACUUCAGAAUCUCUCAUUAGGAGAAAGCUUUCUCUCCCUCUUUUCAUCCUUUCAUCAAUC